AGUACAAUCUUGACUAAUAAUAAAACAUAAAUUAUUUGUAAAGUAAAUUAACUAUUAAAAUUACUUAAAUUUCAUUCCAGACCGAAUGCAUCUUAUUCUUGCUCCUAUUGUUAUAAUUUGCUUCAAACUUAUGGGCGUUCUCGUAUUGUAUUUAACAUAUAUGCAUGAUGCAGCCAAAAAUCUACCUCUUAUAUAGGAAUUUCAUUUUCAUCUCAGUUAGUGGACCUUUAAGGCUUUGGCAUCACCAUUCAGUUGAGUCAAUUCAUAUGUUGAAUCAGACUUCCAAUAACAGAAAGCAAGUGAGAUUCUGCAAUAAUGCAACCGGAUUCUUCAUCACCUUCCACUUUUAGAUAUAGAAUUUGAUAUCCCUGCCUUCUGCCCCAUGGCUUUUCUCCAACCGUGCGUUCUGUGAUCACCAACAUACGAAUGCAAGUUGUUUGCAUUUCUCAAACUGGCAACUAAUGCCUACAUUUCUUCUCUGCUCCUGCUCCCAACUUGGCAGCAUUCAUAGUUUGCAUCAUCAGGAAGCGCUGUCCGAGUUCAGUGGCGUUCGUGGACCUCACCCUAUUAACCUCAUCCUGCUAGGUAUUAAUUAUUUGUUUCCUUCUACUUGUGCCGGAUAAAUUUCCUUUUGAUCGAAUGGCUUGCUUCUCCUAGGAACGUCAGCCAAAUUACAGAAUUCCAUCAAAGUUUUCCUGAUCUGUACUCUUUUCUUCUUGUCAGCUGGUCGAGGUCCUAAAGAAUGUAUAUCAAUAGUAGCUCCAUGGACCUUAGAGGAAUGCACAACUGCAUCAUAUACCUUUGCAGACAGAUUAAGGCCUUCAUUUUGAGCUCUCAAGUGCAACUCAUAUGCAAUCCUAGGUUUACCGUCCUUAGCAAGAGCCUCAAUCAGCAUUUCAUAUGUAAUCUUGUUUGGUUGGAUGUUCUGGACUUUCAUACGGUGAAACCACUCAUAUGCUGCACUGCUCAGAUUAUUCUGUGCACAUCCACUAAUUAUUGCGUUAUAUGUGACAAUUGUUGGCUCAAUGCUAGAUGAAACCAUCUCAUGAAUUAUGGCAUCAACAUACCUAAACUUUCCUUGUCCAGCAAAAACUGAAGCCAUAAUGGUGUAGGCAUACAAGUUGGGCUUCACACCCACCUUAAGCAUAUGCUCCCACACACGGACAGCCUCAUCAUAGAGUUUACCUUUUUCAAGCGCACUAAGUAAUGCACCAUAGGAAACAAUUGUAGGCUUUUCACCUUGUUCAAUCAUUCUCCUAAAUAUCUGCACGGCAGCAGAAGUUUCUGCAGCCUUCGAACAGGCAACAAGAACUGCAUUCCAUUCCCUACUUCCCGGCUUAAGGCCCUUGUGUUCCAUCUUGUUUAACAGCCUAACACCCCAUCUCCAAAUUCCUCGUUUCCUAGCAGCAUUAAGUAAGAUGUUAAAAUGAGAGACAAUCAAUUCAUAUGACAUGUUAUUUGGUUUUGGCCCCUUGUCCAACAAAUCCUCAUAAAUCUCCAAAGCUGCCCACCACUUCUUAGCCUUUCCCAUCAGCCAAAUCAGAUGGUUGCAGACUGAAAGACUUAUUUCAGAAUACCUUUCUCUGAUCCUAGUGUAUAAUUCUUUAGCGACAACAAAAUGAUCUUCACGGGUACAAGCCCACACAAGACGCUCAUACUCUGCUCGACCAGGGUGCAGCCCAGCUUUGUCCAUAUCUGUUAGAAGUUUCAACACAUCAGCACAUAAGUUAUCAUGCCUCACUAGCCACCUCCGCAUCACUUGGUAGCAAAUACGAAUUAUGAAGUUCUCAAGCUUCACAAACUCCCUUUCCCAAUCUUCAUCAGAAUCUUUUCCGAUCUCACCUUUCAGAUACUUUUCUUUUAUAUCUAUAAAGAAUGUCAGAGCACCAUAACCAUCUUCCAUUCUUCGAUAAGCCAGCAAAGCAGUGGAAUAGGAUGCAGCGGAUGGGGUAAAACCCUUCUUAUGAAUCUCCUCAAGAAUAUCAAGGGCCUUAGUAGCUUGUCCUUGUUCUACAUAAAUAGCCAUCAAAGUGUUAUAAGUUACCACAUUAGGAAAAAUUCCAUUCUGAGUCAUAUCAUUCAAGAUUCUCUCUGUUUCUUCAUAUUGUUCAGACUCUUUCACUGCACUCAAUAAACUGUUAUAUAUGAAAAGGUUUGGACUAAUAUUACUGCCAAUUUCCUUCUUUCUCUUGAGCCACUCAACAAGAGCAAAUGCAGACUCUAUUUUCUUGUCCCAGCCAAAACCCUUAAUCAUGGAUGAGUAAACUUGAAGAGGCAAUUCACCCUUGUCCUUGAGAACCUCUUCAACAUCAUCUGCUGUUUUAGCAGAAUGCAAGAUGCAAGCUAAUGCUUGAACAUCGAUUCUUCUAUGCCUCCCUUUCUCAACUUCAUCCCCACAUUCAUAAUCUAAAACUCUAAUUUCUCCUGGAUUAUUAUUGUCAUGACUAUCUUCUACUCUAUCCAAAUUAUGAGAAUCAGUAUCAUUAUUCUCACUCUUUCCUGACAAUCCAUCAUCUAAACUCGAGUUUCCUCCAUGACACUCACUCCUAAUUUGUUGUUGCUCCAAUGCCCAAGCCAUAGUAACAGAUGACCCAAAAUUACCUUUCUUUGGCUUACCAAAGAGAACAAAUUUCAGUUCAGAAUACUUAGAGAAAAAUCCACUUUGCACAUCAAAUUUUGAACUCACACCAGUUUCAUUUCUAGAAUACCUGGAAUUGCUAGAAACUAUUAAAAGACCAGAACUUGUACCUUGAAAAACAGUAUCCACAAGACCCCAUCCUUUUCUCCGUCUUCCUCUUAUGCUUGGAAAACAACUAGAACACAGUUCAAAGUCCAACUGGGGCACUGUGCAUAAGCCACCUUUCGAUGGCCACAUACUCAAAACUUGCAUUUUUCCAGAUAAUUCAGCAACAAAAAAGAAAACCCAGAAUGCAAAAUCCAGUUAAAGAACAAGAAAACGUGUUGUACACUCUCAUGGAAGAUUUUUUGCACCGUAAUUGCAUACAAGAGAAACAGAACUGCACCUAGCGUAUUUGGUUCAGCAUCUAACAAAAAAAAUCAGUGCAUACCUGAAUUGCUGGGAGCGAUUUUUGAGUGAAAUUAUGAGGUUUGUUUUUG
rnacentral:misc_RNA from 1 species